rnacentral:rRNA from 1 species
GGAGCAACGCCGCGUGAGUGAAGAAGGGUUUCGGCUCGUAAAGCUCUGGUUGGUAGUGAAGAAAGAUAGAGGUAGUAACUGGCCUUUAUUUGACGGUAAUUACUUAGAAAGUCACGGCUAACUACGUGCCAGCAGCCGCGGUAAUACGUAGGUGGCAAGCGUUGUCCGGAUUUAUUGGGCGUAAAGCGAGUGCAGGCGGUACAAUAAGUCUGAUGUGAAAGCCUUCGGCUCAACCGGAGAAUUGCAUCAGAAACUGUUGAACUUGAGUGCAGAAGAGGAGAGUGGAACUCCAUGUGUAGCGGUGGAAUGCGUAGAUAUAUGGAAGAACACCAGUGGCGAAGGCGGCUCUCUGGUCUGCAACUGACGCUGAGGCUCGAAAGCAUGGGUAGCUUUCAGGAUUAGAUACCCUGGUAGUCCAUGCCGUAAACGAUGAGUGCUAAGUGUUGGGAGGUUUCCGCCUCUCAGUGCUGCAGCUAACGCAUUAAGCACUCCGCCUGGGGAGUACGACCGCAAGGUUGAAACUCAAAGGAAUUGACGGGGGCCCGCACAAGCGGUGGAGCAUGUGGUUUAAUUCGAAGCAAGCGAAGAACCUUA